UACGGAGGAUGCGAGCGUUAUCCGGAUUUAUUGGGUUUAAAGGGUGCGUAGGCGGUCGGAUAAGUUAGAGGUGAAAUCCCGAGGCUCAACUUCGGAAUUGCCUCUGAUACUGUUCGGCUAGAGAGUAGUUGCGGUAGGCGGAAUGUAUGGUGUAGCGGUGAAAUGCUUAGAGAUCAUACAGAACACCGAUUGCGAAGGCAGCUUGCUAGGCCGGAUCUGACACUGAUGCACGAAAGCGUGGGUAUCAAACAGG
rnacentral:rRNA from 1 species